AGUGAACGCUGGCGGUAGGCCUAACACAUGCAAGUCGAACGGCAGCACAGUAAGAGCUUGCUCUUACGGGUGGCGAGUGGCGGACGGGUGAGGAAUACAGCGGAAUCUACUUUUUCGUGGGGGAUAAGGUAGGGAAACUUACGCUAAUACCGCAUACGACCUACGGGUGAAAGCAGGGGAUCUUCGGACCUUGCGCGAUUGAAUGAGCCGAUGUCGGAUUAGCUAGUUGGCGGGGUAAAGGCCCACCAAGGCGACGAUCCGUAGCUGGUCUGAGAGGAUGAUCAGCCACACUGGAACUGAGACACGGUCCAGACUCCUACGGGAGGCAGCAGUGGGGAAUAUUGGACAAUGGGCGCAAGCCUGAUCCAGCCAUACCGCGUGGGUGAAGAAGGCCUUCGGGUUGUAAAGCCCUUUUGUUGGGAAAGAAAAGCAGCAGGUUAAUACCCCGCUGUUCUGACGGUACCCAAAGAAUAAGCACCGGCUAACUUCGUG
rnacentral:rRNA from 1 species